rnacentral:tRNA from 1 species
GGGCUGGUAUUCUAGUGGUAAGAUAGUCAAUUCAGGAAAGCAAAGCGCGAGUUCAAGCCUCGCCCGGUCCG